AAAUUGGUCCACAAAUAAUAACCUAUGAUUCUUUACGUGGUCUAUUUAUUAUUUGUGUCAAAUAACA